AUUGAACGCUGGCGGCAUGCCUUACACAUGCAAGUCGAACGGUAACAGGUUAAGCUGACGCGUGGCGAACGGGUGAGUAAUACAUCGGAACGUGCCCAGUAGUGGGGGAUAGCCCGGCGAAAGCCGGAUUAAUACCGCAUACGACCUAAGGGUGAAAGGGGGGGAUCGCAAGACCUCUCGCUAUUGGAGCGGCCGAUGUCAGAUUAGCUAGUUGGUGGGGUAAAAGCUCACCAAGGCGACGAUCUGUAGCUGGUCUGAGAGGACGACCAGCCACACUGGGACUGAGACACGGCCCAGACUCCUACGGGGGGCAGCAGUGGGGAAUUUUGGACAAUGGGCGCAAGCCUGAUCCAGCCAUGCCGCGUGCGGGAAGAAGGCCUUCGGGUUGUAAACCGCUUUUGUCAGGGAAGAAAUCCUUUGGGUUAAUACCUCGGGGGGAUGACGGUACCUGAAGAAUAAGCACCGGCUAACUACGUG
rnacentral:rRNA from 1 species